UGCCAGCAGCCGCGGUAAUACGUAGGUGGCAAGCGUUGUCCGGAAUUAUUGGGCGUAAAGCGCGCGCAGGCGGYCUAUCCAGUCUGUCUUAARAGUUCGGGGCUCAACCCCGUGAUGGGAUGGAAACUAGUAGGCUAGAGUAUCGGAGAGGAAAGCGGAAUUCCUAGUGUAGCGGUGAAAUGCGUAGAUWUUAGGAAGAACACCAGUGGCGAAGGCGGCUUUCUGGACGAAAACURACGCUGAGGCGCGAAAGCCAGGGGAGCNGAACGGGAUUAGAUACCCUGGUAGUCCAAGGGCGAAAUUCGUUUAAACCCUGCCAGGACCUA
rnacentral:rRNA from 1 species